CUAACUCGAGUCCCGACUGCGCUGUAAUACGGGUUGGGCAAGGGUGUUUCGGAAUAAUGUGGCGUAGAGAGCGUGUAGGCUGGCUCUGAAGUCUGAUGUGAAAGCCCGGGGCUCACCACCGGAAGUGCAUUGGAAACUGGGGGACUAGAGUACCGGAGAGGAGGGUGGAAUUCCUGGUGUAGCGGUGAAAUGCGUAGAUAUCAGGAGGAACACCGGUGGCGAAGGCGGCCCUCUGGACGGAUACUGACGCUGAGACGCGAAAGCGUGGGGAGCAAACAGGAUUAGAUACCCCAGUAGUC
rnacentral:rRNA from 1 species